GAUGAACGCUGGCGGCGUGCCUAAUACAUGCAAGUCGAGCGAACGGACGAGAAGCUUGCUUCUCUGAUGUUAGCGGCGGACGGGUGAGUAACACGUGGAUAACCUACCUAUAAGACUGGGAUAACUUCGGGAAACCGGAGCUAAUACCGGAUAAUAUUUUGAACCGCAUGGUUCAAAAGUGAAAGAAGGUAUUGCUGUCACUUAUAGAUGGAUCCGCGCUGCAUUAGCUAGUUGGUAAGGUAACGGCUUACCAAGGCAACGAUGCAUAGCCGACCUGAGGGGGAGAUCGGCCAGACGGGAACUGAGACACGGUCCAGACUCCUACGGGAGGCAGCAGUAGGGAAUCUUCCGCAAUGGGCGAAAGCCGGACGGAGCAACGCCGCGUGAGUGAUGAAGGUCUUCGGAUCGGAAAACUCUGUUAUUAGGGAAGAACAUAUGUGUAAGUAACUGUGCACAUCUUGACGGUACCUAAUCAGAAAGCCACGGCUAACUACGUG
rnacentral:rRNA from 1 species